AGAAUGCCUGAGAUCAUAGAGAUCACAUUCAGACAUCAAAGUUCUGAAGUCAAUGAAUGUGCCUUCUGCUCUAGUCGGCCCGCCGUCUUUUUCAGAGUUAUCAAUGAUAUCGUUAAAAUCACCGGUAAGAAGCCAAGGGCCGGUCCUGGACAGAGAGAUUUCGGUUAGGCGUUCCAGCACUUCUCUCCGUCGUGCCUGUUCCGGUGCUCCAUAUGUAAAAGUUGCAAAAAACAUCUUGUUCUUGUAUUCGAUCUCGGUAUCAAUGUAGUUAUCGCAUAACUGAAGAACUCUAAGUUUAAUAGAAGCAUUCCAUAACAGAGUUAGACCUCCUCCUCCUGGACUAUGGGGAGGAACAUGAACUUGUGAUGUAAAAUUUAGUACAGUCAGUUUAUUGGUCACAACAUCUGGGGGAUUUUUUUGUCUCCAUAAGAAAUAGAAUGUCGGGAUCAAAAUCUUUCUUCAUCUCCCGCAAUCUCUGGACUGUUGUGGGAUUCCCCAACCCACAA
rnacentral:lncRNA from 1 species